UGAUCGCGAAAUGACGGUAUAGGAAGCCUCCCAAAAGGUCCUCGCACCCGCUUGGCGAUGCUUGCAUCUUGUUCAUCAGUUCUUAUGUGCCGCUUCAGCUGAUGAUUGUGACAAGUAUAUACGCUAUAAAUUAUUCAUAGUAAAAGGCAGAUAGCACACGAUGUACCUAAUCAUGUUGGGAGAAGGUGCGAGGCCCUACCUUACUGUUUUGAUCCUGCAUGACAUGAGAAUAUUUAGGUUAGGCCUUGUAUUAGCUAAUUUAGCUGCUGCAUUGAAUUUUUUACAUCAUAUACGUACCUCAACAUGGCCGAUCAAUUCAUCCAUUUUUCCCCUUAAAUAUCUGAUAGUACUCUUUGUUUCUGCAAUGUUGCUGCACAUCUCAUUGAUCUCAUGAUGGAAUUGACGAUCAAGAUCGUUUAGGUGCGCUUCAAUCCUCCGCACAGGGGUUUCAGGAAUGCAUGAAUCUUUUGUAUUUGAUAUUUUCGGAUCUCCAUAGUCUACAUCGUGUACAUGAGGAAGGUCCGUACGGCCCUGCACAAAAUUUUUGGGGGCGUAACAUGCAUCCAAUCAAGCGAAGCCUGACUUCUCAUGAUCUUCACAAAAGGGACUGAGCGAUGAAACGUCAUCUCAUAUUCGUAUUGUCAGUUUUGAUUUGUAAUCUUCAUAGCAAAUUGGUGACAAAUUUCUCAGCAAUAUGCAGUUUAAGAAUACACAACGAAGCUAGAUGUACCGAAAACUUACUGGUUUUGCUGUUAUUUCACUAGGCGUCUGCGGAUCAAUUGAAGCAUCUGCUGAUUUACUCGCACACAGAGAUAUUUUCUUGACACCUUCAGAUGACGGCGACUUAUAUGACUCCAUGUUUAUCCCUUUCUGCGACAGGCUUCCUUCCGUCUGCGUCGCUGAGGAUAUGUGGUUCGGCGGCGAGUUGCGUCUGCGUCAAGUAGCGCCUGCGAGUUGCGGCGAGUUGCGUCUGUGUCGUUUGUUCCCGUUGGGCGUCCUCUGCGUUGGCGUCACCUUCGAAGAUGCGGUUGAGGUUUGGGGUGCUUCUGUUCGUGGGCGUCUGCAUGCAUUUGAUAUGCUUGUACCAGGUUUUGGUAGUAGAUCACGAGGUGGUGUUGGAGUCAAACACGAUGUCCUGUACCGAGUGUAAAACGUAUAGGCCUAGGGACGUUUAUAACGGAUGCUGUGAGACUCCAAUUAGGAGUCGGUUGUAUCGAUGGAUCGGAUGGUG